GGCCUAACACAUGCAAGUCGAGGGGUAUUGUAGCAAUACAAGAGACCGGCGCACGGGUGCGUAACGCGUAUGCAAUCUGCCUCUUACUUUUGGAUAGCCCAGAGAAAUUUGGAUUAAUACAGAAUGUGGUAAUGAACUGGCAUCGGUUUAUUACUAAAGAUUUAUUGGUAAGAGAUGAGCAUGCGUCCCAUUAGUUAGUUGGUAUGGUAACGGCAUACCAAGACGAUGAUGGGUAGGGGUCCUGAGAGGGAGAUCCCCCACACUGGUACUGAGACACGGACCAGACUCCUACGGGAGGCAGCAGUGAGGAAUAUUGGACAAUGGGCGGAAGCCUGAUCCAGCCAUGCCGCGUGCAGGAAUAAGGUCCUAUGGAUUGUAAACUGCUUUUAUACGAGAAGAAAUAGUGCUACGUGUAGUAUGUUGACGGUAU
rnacentral:rRNA from 1 species